rnacentral:rRNA from 1 species
UACAGAGGGUGCAAGCGUUAAUCGGAAUUACUGGGCGUAAAGCGUGCGUAGUCGGUUAUCUAAGUCGGAUGUGAAAUCCCCGGGCUCAACCUGGGAAUUGCAUUCGAAACUGAAUAGCUAGAGUUCGGCAGAGGGAAGUGGAAUUUCCGGUGUAGCGGUGAAAUGCGUAGAUAUCGGAAGGAACAUCAGUGGCGAAGGCGGCUUCCUGGCCUGUUCUUGACGCUGAGGCGCGAAAGCUAGGGGAGCAAACGGG